rnacentral:rRNA from 1 species
AACGUAGGAGACAAACGUUAUCCGGAGUUACUGGGCGUAAAGGGCGUGCAGGUGGUCUGUUAAGUCUGGCGUGAAAGCUCCUGGCUAAACCGGGAGAGGUCGUUGGAUACUGGCGGACUAGAGGACGGUAGAGGCGUGUGGAAUUCCGGGUGUGGUGGUGAAAUGCGUAGAGAUCCGGAGGAACACCAGUGGCGAAGGCGACACGCUGGGCCGUACCUGACACUGAUACGCGACAGCAUGGGGAGCGAACGGG